GGAGCUUGCUUCUCUGGAUGAGUUGCGAACGGGUGAGUAACGCGUAGGUAACCUGCCUGGUAGCGGGGGAUAACUAUUGGAAACGAUAGCUAAUACCGCAUAAGAGUGGAUGUUGCAUGACAUUUACUUAAAAGGUGCAAUUGCAUCACUACCAGAUGGACCUGCGUUGUAUUAGCUAGUUGGUGGGGUAACGGCUCACCAAGGCGACGAUACAUAGCCGACCUGAGAGGGUGAUCGGCCACACUGGGACUGAGACACGGCCCAGACUCCUACGGGAGGCAGCAGUAGGGAAUCUUCGGCAAUGGACGGAAGUCUGACCGAGCAACGCCGCGUGAGUGAAGAAGGUUUUCGGAUCGUAAAGCUCUGUUGUAAGAGAAGAACGAGUGUGAGAGUGGAAAGUUCACACUGUGACGGUAUCUUACCAGAAAGGGACGGCUAACUACGUGCCAGCAGCCGCGGUAAUACGUAGGUCCCGAGCGUUGUCCGGAUUUAUUGGGCGUAAAGCGAGCGCAGGCGGUUAGAUAAGUCUGAAGUUAAAGGCUGUGGCUUAACCAUAGUACGCUUUGGAAACUGUUUAACUUGAGUGCGAGAGGGGAGAGUGGAAUUCCAUGUGUAGCGGUGAAAUGCGUAGAUAUAUGGAGGAACACCGGUGGCGAAAGCGGCUCUCUGGCUUGUAACUGACGCUGAGGCUCGAAAGCG
rnacentral:rRNA from 1 species